UACGAAGGGGGCUAGCGUUGUUCGGAAUUACUGGGCGUAAAGGGCGCGUAGGUGGCCUGAUAAGUCAGAAGUGAAAGCCUUGAGCUUAACUCGAGAAUUGCUUUUGAGACUGUCAGGCUAGAGUACAGGAGGGGUAAGUGGAAUUCCAAGUGUAGAGGUGAAAUUCGUAGAUAUUUGGAAGAACACCAGUGGCGAAGGCGACUUACUGGACUGUAACUGACACUGAGGCGCGAAAGCGUGGGGAGCAAACAGG
rnacentral:rRNA from 1 species